rnacentral:misc_RNA from 1 species
UUUCCGUAGGUGAACCUGCGGAAGGAUCAUUAAUGAGUUGUCAUGGGGUUCGAUGCUGGCAGCCAAUUUUUGGAUGCAUGUGCUUGCCCUAACAAUCAUCUUCCAAACACCUGUGCACAUUUUUGAGGGAGUCUUGAGUUGGUUGCCGCUCUUGGGUGAUUUUCUCACAUUCCCUUAAAUCAUUAUACGCUAUUAACAAUGUUGAACGUGCUCUGUGCCGCAAGGCUAUUAAUAUAAUACAACUUUUAACAACGGAUCUCUUGGCUCUCGCAUCGAUGAAGAACGUAGC